GUGUCAGCAGCCGCGGUAAUACGUAGGGGGCAAACGUUGCUCGGAAUUACUGGGCGUAAAGGGUGUGUAGGUGGCUGAGUAAGUCAAAGAUGAAAUCCCGAGGCUCAACUUCGGAAUGGUCUUUGAUACUGUUUAGCUUGAGGAUAGUUGAAGAGAAUGGAAUUCCCGGUGGAGCGGUGAAAUGCGUAGAUAUCGGGAGGAACACCUGAGGCGAAGGCGAUUCUCUAAGCUACUCCUGACACUGAAACACGAAAGCUAGGGGAGCAAACGGGAUUAGAUACCCCGGUAGUCCUAGCCAUAAACGAUGGACACUAGAUAUUCCUGCGUUUAUGUGGGAGUGUCGAAGCUAACGCGUUAAGUGUCCCGCCUGGGGAGUACGGUCGCAAGGCUGAAACUUAAAUGAAUUGACGGGG
rnacentral:rRNA from 1 species